AUGGCGCCGCUCGCCCUCCUCUGCCUCGCCUGCCUUCUCCUCCUCGCCCCCUCCCGCUCCUCCGCGGCGGAGUGCGGGCGGAACACGAGCCUUGCGGGCCACGAGGCGGACCUGCGGAUGUCGCAGCACCAGCUGCGGGGCCCCGUGGCCGUGCUGGACGGCUGCUCCUUCCGCGUCUCGUCGCUGGACCUCCUGGCCGGCUCCGCCGACGCGCGCUGGUGGCGGGCCGACGGCGCCGACCUCGCCGCGCUCUCCCGCGGCUCCCCCGCCGCGCCCGACCCGCUCAACCGCACCUUCGCCUCCGAGUCCCUCGUCUUCCGCCUCCUCCCGGGCCUCUCCUGGCCGCUCGUCCCCGUCCUCGCCGCCUUCGACCCGCUCACCUCUUCCCUCUUCGGCUUCGUCCGCCUCGCCGCCUCCAACUCCUCCUCCAAAGCUGCCGCCGCCGCGUCCCCCACCGAGGAGCCCACCAUGUUCGCCUCCUGCGCGCAGCUCUCGCCGCGGCUGCGCGUGCGCUGGACGCUCCGCGAGGCGGCCAACGCCAUCGACGUCGGGCUCGAGGCCGCCGUCGGGUCCGAGUACUACAUGGCGUUCGGCUGGGCGGACCCCGGCAGGAACGUCUCCAUGAUCGGCGCCGACGUCGCCGUCGCGGGCUUCACCGAGGAGGGCCUCCCGUUCGCCGACGACGACUUCGUCACCAAGUACAGCGAGUGCCUGCUCCGCGGCGACGGCGGCGCCGAGGACGUCUGCCCGGACACGUUCUACGACCGCCGCAACGGCAGCACCGCCGGCGACGCGUCCGUCAACAACACCAGGCUCGUCUACGGCCACCGCCGCGACGGCGUCUCCUUCGUGCGCUUCUCGCGCCCGCUGGCGUCGCCCGACAAGAGGUACGACGUGGCGGUCAACGCCACGAGGGAGAUGACCGUGAUCUGGGCCAUCGGGCUGCUCCGGCAGCCGGACUUGCUGAGGCCGUACUACCUGCCGUUGAACCACGGCGCGCCGGCGGGCACCGCGUACGGGUUCCUCACGCUCAACGUGUCUGCGGCGACCAACGGGUGCCCCGGGCCGCUGGACGCCGAGGACAAGGAGGACCAAGGCAGGAUCAAGGCGGAGCGGCAGACCCCGCUGGUGGUCACCACGGGGCCAGCGCUGCACUACCCCAACCCGCCCAACCCAGAAAAGGUGCUCUACAUCAACAAGAAGGAGGCGCCUCUGCUCAAGGUGGAGCGCGGCGUGCCGGUCACCUUCUCCGUCGAGGCCGGGCACGACGUGCCGCUGUACAUCAUGUCCGACGCCGUCGGCGGGAACGCCACGGCCCGGAACAUGUCCGAGGUAAUCUACGCCGGCAACCCGACUGCAGAGGGCGUGCCGGCAACGCCUACAGAGCUUGUCUGGCUGCCUGACCGCAACACACCGGACCUAGUAUACUACCAAUCCCUCUACGACCCCAAGAUGGGUUGGAAAAUUCAGGUGGUCGACGGCGGCCUCAGCGACAUGUACAACAACAGCGUGCUGCUGGACGAUCAGCAGGUGACAUUCUUCUGGACUUUGUCCGGCGACUCCAUCAACAUCGCAGCUCACGGCGAGAAGAAGAGCGGGUACAUCGCCAUCGGCUUCGGCGGCGCAAUGGGGAACAACUACGCCUACGUAGGGUGGGUCGACGGCAACGACAUGGGACAUGUCAACUCGUACUGGAUCGACGGGAAGGACGGCAUGAGCGUGCACGAGACACACGAGAACCUCACCUACAAGAGGUGCCUGUCAGAGAACGGCAUGAUCAUAUUCGAGUUCACCCGUCCAUUGACACCUUCGUGCAGUGGAAGGGUGGAGUGCAAGAACAUCGAUCCCUCGACACCUCUGAAUCAACCCGGCAAUCCGACCCAUGGGCGGCCGCGCCCAUGGGCACCCGACCCUAAUGGGUAG
rnacentral:rRNA from 1 species